AACAUAUCAACCAACAAUAUCUAAAGACAUGUUAUAUAGGCCUCAAUCAUGGAUUUAAUUAGCAGUAAUUAAUCCAAAAAUAAUUAAACAAGUCCCCAACAAAUCAAAUAUCUCUUCCUCAUUUUUAUUUGCGCAACCUGAUGAUUCAUAACAGAGAAAAUAAAUGGUUUUCCUUUUAGACUAGUGGCAGUAACUUUUUAAUUAACCAAAGAAGGAAACAUUUUCAUUUGAAAUGGUGCUAUAGUCGGUGGCACUGGCUGGCUGGUGAUGAGUGUAAAUGGAAGAAGAAGAAGAGGAAAUAGGAGGAAGAGGAGGAGGAGGGGAAGGAGGGGGAGGCAGCUGCCGCGG
rnacentral:misc_RNA from 1 species